rnacentral:tRNA from 1 species
AAAUAAAGAGCUUGACUAGUUAAGCAACUCGUUUACAUCGAGUUUAUAUUUGUGCAAAUCAAAUUUUAUUUA